AGAGUUUGAUCAUGGCUCAGGACGAACGCUGGCGGCGUGCCUAAUGCAUGCAAGUCGAGCGACGCGCACUACGGUGCGACGGAGCGGCGAACGGGUGAGUAACACGUGAGCAACCUGCCCUGAAGACCGGAAUAGCCCGGGGAAACCCGGUGUAAUGCCGGAUACACUCCCGAUACCGCAUGGUAUGGGAGAAAAUGCCUUUGUGCUUCAGGAUGGGCUCACGGCCUAUCAGCUAGUUGGUGAGGUAACGGCUCACCAAGGCGACGACGGGUAGCUGGUCUGAGAGGACGAUCAGCCACACUGGGACUGAGACACGGCCCAGACUCCUACGGGAGGCAGCAGCAGGGAAUAUUGCGCAAUGGGCGAAAGCCUGACGCAGCGACGCCGCGUGGGGGAUGAAUGCCUUCGGGUUGUAAACCCCUUUCAGGAGGGAAGAAAUUGACGGUACCUCCAAAAGAAGCCCCGGCCAACUACGUGCCAGCAGCCGCGGUAAGACGUAGGGGGCAAGCGUUGUCCGGAAUCAUUGGGCGUAAAGGGCUCGUAGGCGGCUCGGUAAGUUGAUCGUGAAAUCCCGGAGCUCAACUCCGGAACUGCGGUCGAUACUGCCGUGGCUAGAGU
rnacentral:rRNA from 1 species